AUAGAAAUGCUAUUAUGUAACCAAGAAAUCCCGCUAAAAUAUAUUUUAUUAAGAACCCAAAGCAACCGAGAAUGUAGAUCCUUGCUCUGAGAUGGAGAACUCUCAAAUCCUUCGUCGGGGCUCUCGCCGGAAGCUCCAUUUUCCUUCGUUUCGAGGUUCGCCGGAGGGAAUCGUCGCCGCCGAUUCAAGUGUCCUGACGUCUCCGUGCACCAGUUUCUCCGGCGGUUUGAUGUUGGCUCGCGGUUCCAUGGUCGCUACGCACCUUCCGUCGUCGUCGUCGUCGCUGCUCUUCCUAAUCGCCCGCGACUCUAUUCGCUCCUUCGAUUGCUAUUCCACUGGGAGUAACGAUGACUCCGGCGGCUUUAUCUCCGAUCCUCCGUCCAUCAACUGAGAGCCACACCUGCCAGAGGGACCAAUGAGCUUGAGGGCGUUCCGUGGAGAUGAAGCCGGGGCGUUGGAACGUGAACCAUAGCAACGGCCGCCUCAUGAUUGCCGUGCGUGUCAUCACCUCAUCACCGCCAGGUUGUUUCUUUUCCAAUUAAAGUGGUAAGAAUUGCUUGUACGCAUGGAUUUUCUACUCUGAUGUUUCUGUUCUGUAUUACCAUUCUGGUGUUAAUAGUACAUCACACCACAUGCUUACAACCUUUUCGACAGAAAGCCUGACCCCAUUGCCGAUAGUUCCUAUUGCAUUCUGUUUACCAACGUCUUGAUGUCCAAUUGAAGUUGCGUUGGUCGUGCCUUUGCUGGAUUUCCCGUAUAUAGUUUAUUGAAAUGUGAACUAAUUAGAUAUAUAGGUGAUGUAUAUCGGAUGCUGUUCAUAAAUAUUUGUGUGGAUCAAAUCCUGUUCAUAUGUGAUUGUGUAUGUCAAAUGGUGCUCCUGCAUGUUACUUUGAGAUGGUGAAGUGCUGAAGGAAAGAGGAGAAUGCUGGGAGUACUAUUUUCUACUUGGACAUGAGGCUACUUAUGAUUGUAUACAUGAGUCAUCGAUGCUUGUUGCAAUAUCAAAAGAGCUUGUGUCUGGAGCAUGCGAGCUGCAAGUAUGCCUGAUUUGAGAAGAAACAAGAGCUGUAAAUGAGUUGAAAAUAAACAAUGAAAUGAAAGCCACAUGAGAUUCGAAGAUUUGAUUGGAUGAGAACCGAACAAAAAGAAAUUAGAAUUGUUGUUGCAUAAACUCAAGUAAAUGCUCGAUGUCAGACUCUUGAGAAUUGAGAAGACGUAGUCAGUAGUGUCUGUCCUUGCUUCUGCCACUGCAACCUCAUCCUAGAAGAAAUUAGAAUGGCUUGCAGAUAAUCAACUAAUUAGUCUCUUCUACCAUCAGUUUUGCCCACUUUACAGAUAUUGGCACAAGAAAGACUAUUAUUUUCUCCUAUUAGAUCUAGUCAUCCGUGACAGCAUAAUGCUUGGGCCAAGGAUUGCACAUGUUAGUAAUCUUGAGAAAUUUUGGAGGUGUUCGUGCAAUAUUGAUUUAAUGAUCACCAUUUGGGAUAUCCCAAAGUUGCCUACUUCAGCUUGUUUUCUCUUCAUUUCUCCUUUUGGUUUUUUGCACUUGUAAGUUAUUUGAGAAAUUUUGGUAGAUUCAUUCAUUUACCUAGAUAAAAGUAUCAUAUGCAUUGGAAACUAUUAUCUAAGUUGUCAAAAAUCUUGAUGAUGCUUGCAUGUGGCAAGCAAUCUGAUAUUCACAAAGGGAGUGACUUACCUCUCAACGAAUGGACAGUUAGUAAAUCCUCAAAGCAGAGUAGAUUGCAUAUGCAAAUUGCAUUCCUGUUUCCAGGAAACUUGUCCCUUGACCACAAUGCACAUCAGUUUAUCAAGAAGAGUGCAAGUAUUCCCUUGGAGCCACGAUUUAGCUUUUAUUCCCUUAACCAUAAUGCAUAGAGAUCCAUUCAGUUUUUCCUGACACCACGUCUGCAUAGUCCUGCAAGACAUGUACUUUUCCUGUCUGCCUGCGAAGACUUCUCACUUGGAAAAGCCCCAAGGGCUUGCAGAUACAUGGUAAUAUGCCUACGGAACAAUCAUGCUGUCUUUUUCAAUUUUUUAUCUUCCAGAUUUUUCUCCAUCUCAUCAUCUUAGAACAGGAAAAGAUGAGUUAUUCUAACGGGUAAGUUAAAUUCAUUUCUUCAUCAAACUAAGCUGGGGAUCAACUUUUCGCUGCAGCAACUUGGGCCCUUUGAUGCUAGACCUUUACUAAUACCUUAGUGACCUACUUUCUUGUUAAGUUAUGUCUUGAGUUUUGAAAUGUGCAUGAAACCUCAAAGGAUUUUGAUUUGUUCAAAUUCAGCGUUUGCUUUAAUCCAAGUCAAAUUUGGAGUUUUUGGGCUUUGGAAAAUUUGAUUUUGUUUUCUGUUCGAUGAAGUGUAUUUAUGUUUGACAGAUUCGACUUCUUGGGCUCUUUGUCUAUAUCGCAUGUGGAGGAGGGACUUAUUUUGGCCGUACAAAAGAAGAAGAAGAGGCUCUCAUAUUCAAUAUAUACUUGUGGGUUCAGUAGAUUUGUCAGAGGAAGAAAAAUGCAAAGGCGUGGGUUCUAAUUUUCUCAUCCCCUUCAGCCGCGUAAAAAGAAAAGUAAAAAGGUGGAGUUGUCCUUCUAGCCACGCGGAGAGGAAGAGGAACGCACGGUGAUCGUUUUUGGCGCGAAGGGUUUACAUCCUCGUUCUCUUUCAGGAGAUGCGGGUGUUUCAGACCGUAAUUCUCCGUAAGGCUAAACACUGUGCUUUAGGUGGAAUGAGAAGCGCUUGAAAAAUGUGAGCUGUCGUACUUUAUAAUCCUUCGAUUGAUUAGUGGAAAAUUUGCAACCGAUCUCCCUCUAAAGUA